AAGAUGGCUCCAAGAGGGAAGCUAGUGUUUGGAGUUGGCCUUGGAGCAUUGGUUUUUGUUCCAGUCUUCAAAGCUCUAACUGGAUUGCCUCCUUACAUGGGUAUCUUGCUGGGUCUUGGAGUUCUCUGGGUCUUGACUGAUGCCAUCCACUACGGUGAAUCAGAAAGACAAAAGCUCAAAGUACCUCAAGCCUUGUCUCGAAUCGACACACAAGGCGCUUUGUUUUUCCUUGGCAUCCUUUUAUCCGUUAGCAGGUAUAACUUAAAUUAAACUAAUCUUAUGAAUUAGAAAACCUUUUGUGAUGUUGUUCUUUUUCUAUUUUUCUUUCAGCCUUGAGGCAGCUGGGAUCCUCAGGGAGAUUGCAAACUACCUUGAUGCUAAUAUACCAAACGUUGAGUUGAUUGCUAGUGCAAUAGGUGUUGUGUCUGCAAUCAUAGACAAUGUUCCAUUGGUUGCAGCGACCAUGGGGAUGUACGACCUCACAUCCUUCCCUCAAGACUCUGAGUUUUGGCAGCUGGUUGCGUUCUGCGCCGGUACUGGUGGUUCGAUGCUUAUCAUUGGUUCCGCUGCUGGUGUGGCCUUCAUGGGGAUGGAGAAGAUAGAUUUCUUUUGGUACUUCCGAAAGGUAAAAGAUACAUUCAUUUUUUUUUGUAAAGACUGAAUACUCUUAAAGAGGCUCUGAGCAAGAAACGCUGUUUUUGUUUUCUCCGUGCAGGUGAGUGGUUUUGCUUUUGCUGGUUAUGCUGCUGGUAUCGCGGCUUACCUGGCGAUUCAAAGUGUUCAUUUUUCGAUCCCAACAACGGUGGCUCAGAUCCCAUUUCUCACUGGUUCGUAAGCUUGCAUUGUGUUUCUUCUCUAUGAAAAGAAAAGAACAGUACAGAAGUGAAAUCUCUUGCUGGCUGCAAUAAUAAAAAAAACACAUCACUUCGUCGACAACCAACUAUGUUAUUUGUUUCAUGUAUACUCUGGUUCUAUCAUUGCUUGACUAGUACAGAAUGAAUCAUCCAGUAAAAAUUUUAUGAUUUUCUGAGGUUUUUAUGUUUAUCUUUGGAAAGUGUAAGACUAUAGUUUGAGGGAAACAGACUCUUCAAUUGCAGAAAUGUCUCCCAUCUUUUUCAAAGUUUAUUUGCUAGGUUGUUUCAUUUACACUUCAACCACGUAGAAGUCCUCUUGAAGAAGCAUACGUCACUUUCACGGCAUAUGUGAUACUUCUUAAUCAGUCAACUAUAAUCUUCAAGAAAAAGCAAUUGUAAUUGGACAAUAACCACUCAAACUGUAUUAGUGUUUUUAUCUUUCUUGAUUCUACUGCAACAACAAUCCCACAAAGCAUUCGUGUAAACUAAAAGACGAAUAGUUCUCAGCCAAACGGAAAAACCCCCAGAAACUCAUGAACAUAUAACAGAGGCUAAGAACUUAAUUAAAAAAAAAACCUAAGUAACGCCAAAUCAGAAAGAAAUGAAUAAAAAACUGUACUGCGAUUCACUUUGAUCCGCUGCUUGAUCAUCCUCUUAGAGCAAGCAAUCCAGUAAUGGAGCUCUUUCUUGUGUGUUACUUAGUCUUGUGAACAAAUCAGCAGUUGUUUUCACCUUUAGCUACUGAAAAGAACAAUGCAGCCGUUCAGUAAAACAGCAGUGAGAAUAACUAAACCAUCUUGGCCAAGUCAUAUGACCAGAAACGUUGUCAGAUGAUAAGGCUUGGAAUAGGAUACGCUGGAAUCAUCUUUGAAGAGUCUUUAGCUUUUAAUAAAAGUGGAGUGGGGCUUUUGAUGGCUGUGAGUCUGUGGGUUGUGAGGGGCAUAGGGGUAAGUAAGAAUCUACAUGAGUUUGAAUAUUCAUUAUUUGUUGGUAUAUUGAAUUAUAUUCCUUGUGUCAGGCUCCUUCAACUGAGAUAGCUGUUGCAGAGCUUCAACAUGCAACAGCUGAAGUAAGUGAGAUUGUGUUUUUCAUACUGGGGGCAAUGACCAUUGUGGAGAUUGUUGAUGCUCACCAAGGGUUUAAGCUGGUUACUGACAAUAUAACCACUCGGAAGCCAAAGACGCUUUUAUGGGUGGUAGGUGGAUUUUUAUCUCUGUAGCUUUGAAUGUUAUCUCCUUCUUCAAUGGGUUUACUCUUUAGUUGACUUGUGGUGUUGCAGGUGGGGUUUGUGACUUUUUUCCUCAGUUCGAUUCUAGACAACUUAACCUCUACCAUUGUCAUGGUUUCUUUACUCAGGAAACUGGUCCCUCAAUCAGAAUACCGCAAGUAUGAACAACUUUUUUCUUUAUGCUCCUAUUAGUUAUUUUAUUGGUUAAGUUGUUCACAUUGAGAACAUAUUAGCUCUGUAGAUAUAGACCUUAAGAUUCUGAAGGAAACAUAUUGGUCCUUGUUACUUUGAUACUACUCUGUAUUGUGUUCACUCUUAUUGUCACAUUGACGCUAGUUUUAAUGUUUAAUAACCAAUGCGCAGACUUCUAGGAGCUGUUGUGGUGAUAGCAGCAAAUGCAGGAGGAGCAUGGACUCCAAUUGGUGAUGUUACUACAACUAUGCUAUGGAUUCAUGGUCAGAUAUCCACCUUGCCGACUAUACAGGUUCUCCUUCUCUUCUGAGAUUGUCACAUAGUGUUAUCAGAGCGUACCUUUCUUUCUCAAGCCCAACUGGUAUCAUUAGUAUAUGUUACAGGGUUAGAGUCUACUUAAGAAAAACGAAUGUUUAGAAGUGGGACUAGAUAGUCUAGGUUACAGGCUUCUAUAAGUUGUUAAAGUAUACACCUGCUUGGUCAUUUCAACUGUCACGUACGGCACUUCCUAGCCAUUCCUGAUGAAGGUUUACUUGCUUUCCCUUUAGGGCCUUUUCAUACCUUCGGCCAUAUCUCUUGCUGUUCCGCUAGCCCUCAUGUCCUUGAGCAGGUUAUAAACUCUUUCUUGCAUGCUCAAACAGAAACAGAAACUAAGCUUCAAUUGUCUCGUAACUGCAGAGGCUGAUUGAUGUGAGUUACUUUGUUUUUUUGUCUUCCUCAGUGAGGUAAAUGAAAAGGGACAGGAUUCGUCAGAUGUAUUAGCUUCUGAAAAGAUGGCUCCAAGAGGGAAGCUAGUGUUUGGAGUUGGCCUUGGAGCAUUGGUUUUUGUUCCAGUCUUCAAAGCUCUAACUGGAUUGCCUCCUUACAUGGGUAUCUUGCUGGGUCUUGGAGUUCUCUGGGUCUUGACUGAUGCCAUCCACUACGGUGAAUCAGAAAGACAAAAGCUCAAAGUACCUCAAGCCUUGUCUCGAAUCGACACACAAGGCGCUUUGUUUUUCCUUGGCAUCCUUUUAUCCGUUAGCAGGUAUAACUUAAAUUAAACUAAUCUUAUGAAUUAGAAAACCUUUUGUGAUGUUGU
rnacentral:lncRNA from 1 species